AACCAUAGAAACCUGCGGAGUACCUGCGGAAGGAUCAUUAAACAACUAGGCCGUAACAAGCCUUGAACCCUUCUCUACGCGCACCUUUACCUUCUCCUUCGGCGGGUCAGCGCCCGCCGUCGGAACCAACAAACCCCCUUUUGCAUCUAGCAUACCACCCGUUCCGAUACAAAACACAAUCGUUACAACUUUUAACAAUGGAUCU
rnacentral:misc_RNA from 1 species